CAAUAGCGUAUAUUAAAGUUGUUGCAGUUAAAAAGCUCGUAGUUGGAUUUCUGGUUGAAGCGACCGGUCGGGCGUUGAUUCGUCUGCACUGGAGUCGGUUUUGGCCAUCCUCUAGGAAAGUGCGUCUGGUAUUAAGUUAUCGGGCGUAUGAUCCUGGUCUUUUACUGUGAAAAAAUUAGAGUGUUUAAAGCAGGCCUUCGCCUUGAAUACAUUAGCAUGGAAUAAUAAGAUAGGACUUUGGUCUAUUUUGUUGGUUUGCAGACCGAAGUAAUGAUUAAUGGGGAUAGUUGGGGGUAUUUAUAUUCCGAUGUCAGAGGUGAAAUUCUUAGAUUUUCGGAAGAUAAACUUAUGCGAAAGCAUUUACCAAGGAUGUUUUCAUUAA
rnacentral:rRNA from 1 species